CUUUAUUAUUCUGCGUGUGUAAAAUAUGUUUUUUUUCCCACCAGAACCAUUUGAGAAUAGGUUGCAUUUAUCAUGCCUCAUCACCCCUUAAUAUUCAUUGUGCCUUUUCUAGACCGGAAACAUUUUCUUAUAUAACCACAGUACAGUUAUCAAAUUCAGGAAAUUUAACAUUGGUACAAUACUUCACAGUCCAUGUUUCAAUGUUGUCAAUUUUCUCAGUAAUGUCCUUUAUAGCAGGUUCCCAUCCCCACCUCCAACCCCUGAGUCAUUAGUCCAGUCUGUAACAUUUAACAACAUGUCUCUCUAGAAUUUUUAAUCUGGAAGAGUUCUUCAGCCUUUCUUUGUUACAACAUAAUAUAUCUGAGGAAUACAGUAAAUUAUUUUACUGAAUGUUAUUCAAUUUGUGUUUAUCCAAUGUUUCCUCAUGAUCAAAUUCAGAUUAUGCAUUUUUGGCUGAAAUAUCACAUUAGUGAUGGUAUAUUCUCGGGAAAAUUUCCAUUAUUACUGACAUUAAUUUUGAUUAUUUGGUUGAAGAGUUGUCUAGUUUUUCUACCAUAUUUACUUUCUUUUCUUAUGAAGUUAAAUCAUUUGCGGUGAGAUAUUUUGAAAUGCUUUCUCCAGGAUAGAAGUCUGAGCACAAAGCACCUGGGUUCUCUUUCAUGGUCUUGCAAAGUUGAAAUCAAGAUGUCAUCCAUGUUGUGGUUCUCACGCGGAGUUUGGGAUCCUCUUUCAAUGUUCACAGUGUGCUGAGGUCUGUCUUACAUCGUCUCACGAAAUCACCACUGCAACCCUGUAAGGCAGACUUUCCCCUUAUGAUAUCAAGAUGGCUCACCAGCAGCUCCAAACUCACAUCUCUGCCAGCAUGACAACUCUAGAGGAAAAAGUAAUUUUAUUUUUCAAUUGUCCCUAUAAAACUCCAGGAUUGAGUCUCAUUAAACCAACAUGUAACUAAAGAUUAAACACUAUAC
rnacentral:lncRNA from 1 species